UGGCUUCCUUCUGGAGGACCCAGUAACAAGGCAUGGGGCCUGAGCAGACACGGAACCUGCCAGCACUGAUCUCGGACUUGGAGGACUUCGAGGAACUGAAUUGCUGGACUAGACAAGACACACUGUCUACCAAUCAGACCACCCCUCCAUGGCCCACCACGGCUUGGGGUCCUUGAGAGAAUUCUGUAACCUGCGAUUAGGACCUCUGCCCCUACUCCUUCCUCCAGCUGCGCUUGAGACACACGCCGAUGGGUACAUUUGGGAUGCUGUCCUAGCCAUGCCGUAAACAACCACGUGCUGACCUUUUCGCUGCUCCUCUCUGGAGCGAUUUGUCAAGAUCAGGUUCACCCAGGAACGAAUUGCAGUGAUGUCUACAGAGUGAGUGCUGUGUGUCGGGGACCAGGCUGGGAGUUUUCCAUGGAUCCAGUUAGCACCACUUCUGUACUGCCAGCCCCAGAGAGAGCACCAAGCCCCACAUGAUAGGAGACCCCUGAGCCAGAGACCUGAUGCCUCCCUUUCCCCAGCCUCAGCCUGCAGAUCUGUGCUGCAGCACACGCAGGAGCCAGGUUUUGCAGGGUGGGGAGCAGCUCUGCUUCCAGGCAGCUGGAACCCCUUCAGGCUGGUGCAGGGAGUCAGCACCCGGCUGGCCCUCGCCCUGGCAGGCAGGCAGGCGUUGGGGGAGGAUGCCUCCUCCA